rnacentral:rRNA from 1 species
CAGACCUCUAAUCGGAAAAGACUACCCGCUGAGUUUAAGCAUAUCACUAAGCGGAGGAGAAGAAACUAACCAGGAUUUCCCUAGUAACGGCGAGCGAACCGGAAAGAGCCCAGCUUGAAAAUCGUGGUGCCUCGUACCUCGAAUUGUAGUCUGGAGAAGGUCCCUCUGCGCCGCGCCGGACCCAAGUUCCCUGGAAAGGGACGUCAUCGAGGGUGACAACCCCGUCCGCGCCCGGAACGCGUCGCUCCACGAGGACCUGUCUGCGAGUCGGGCUGUUUGGGAAUGCAGCCCUAAGCGGGAGGUAAAUUCCUUCCAAGGCUAAAUAUGGGCAAGAGACCGAUAGCGAACAAGUACCGC